rnacentral:rRNA from 1 species
GAACGGCUAAUACCGGAUAAUAUUUUGAACCGCAUGGUUCAAAAGUGAAAGACGGUCUUGCUGUCACUUAUAGAUGGAUCCGCGCUGCAUUAGCUAGUUGGUAAGGUAACGGCUUACCAAGGCAACGAUGCAUAGCCGACCUGAGAGGGUGAUCGGCCACACUGGAACUGAGACACGGUCCAG